AUGUGGGCACUUCCAAGUAAUCUCCAGAAUCGAUGCUUCAAAUACAUUGGAUGUUACUAAAACAACACAUAUAUGAACAAACAAACACCCACAAAAGAAGAUCAGAAGACCCGAUCGUUGUUAUAAACACACAACUUCUUUCUUUUUAGAAUAUCUUGUCUUCAUUUUCUUAUAACCUUCUAGUCUUUCUCUACUUUUUUCAGUCUCUAGUUUGAAAAGGAAAUGGAUCUUGUAAGUUCGAGUGAAUCAUUUAUUGAUGAUCUUAUAGAAGAUUACUGGUUCUUUGAGAACUUAUUUACCAGGAGAUCGAGAGCCUUAAGGGAUUGUCACUCAGAUCCUUACCCUUCUUCUUCUUCUUUGAGUUGUCAUGAAAAAAUGGGAGAUUCAGAUGAGAGGAAGUAUCUAGAAGCUUCCACAGGGCGAUGUUUGAACAGGGCAGCUUCGAUAGAUGGAAGAGAAGGAGGAUCCAAGAAGAAGCAGUUGUCUGAAAAUAUUAUGGUUCAAGAACAGACACCAGUUAUGUCUUUCUUGCAUAAGAAGGAACCUGUGGUUCUUCCCAAAUCUGGAUCUCGCUCGGCUCCGGGGAAGAUUCAAGAACCUUCCACAGAGCGCAGUUUGAUCCGGGCACCUUCUUUGCCACCUCGGAUAGACAAAAGAGAAAUGGAGUUAGAGGCAAAGAAGAUGAUUAAUAAGCUGACACGGCAGUUCUCUGAGAAGAUUAGGGUUCUAGAACCAACGACAACAACAAGUGAUCGUUUCUUGCAGAAGAAGAAAACACUUGCUCCAAAGAAAGCUAGUAGUACUGAAAGGAACAGAAGAGGAGCUGAUAGUAGUAGCAGUGUCAAGAUUAGUUUGCAAAGAACUCAAACGAUGCCAAAUAACAUUAGAAGAGGAGAAGAAGAACUUGAAGAUCAAGAAACCGACUCAAGAAUGGGAUUCUUGAUCCGUGAAGCUCUUGCAAGCUCACAAAAUGCUCAAAAUGUCUCAGGCAAUGAAAGGCAGAGACCACCGAGACACUUGAAACCAGAAGCAACUGUUUUGGUCAAACAAACAAGCCCAAGUCCCAAAACGCUGCGUAAAACGGUAAGCAGCAUAGAAACAGCCAAAGAGAUUCAAGGUUAUGAUGAUCAAGUGGUCGAGCCGCGUGUUGUGAACGGGUUAGCUACACCACCUAGGGUUCCGAAGGAUACAAGGAAAGAAAUGAAGGAUCAGAUCAAGUUUUGGGCUCGAGCUGUAGCUAGUAAUGUCCGACAAGAGUGCUGAAAAUUCUUCUAAUUACACUAAUUAACUCUGUUCUUGUAUGGCACUAUUCCGUACAAAUGAUUCUUAUCUUGAACUCUAUUGUGUUUAUUUUCUUUCUGAUCCUCCUGAAAUAAUGAGAUUCUUCUGUUUAUGUGAUGAUGAUGUUCUUUAGUUCUUUUUUUUUUGCAAGAAAAAAGUCAUGAUUAUCAUGAAGAAAAGGGGUUGAGAGAAAACAACAAGAACAUUAUAAUAAUGAAUCUUAAUGGAAAAUUUAUAUUUAAAACCAAAAGAAAGAACAUAAUUAUUUGUGAUUUGAUUGCGAUUUAUGCAGAGUUUCCUAGAAGCAUUCGAGUUAAAAUAUUCAUUCAGUCUGUUUCGAUAACAUUACACGUAAAAUACGUUGAAUCAUGUUGGCUUAAAUAGUUGUUUUAGUAAUAACGUGGAACUAAAACUAGAUUGAACCGGUUCUUGAUUGCAGAGAUCUCUCGUAAGACCUAAACGAUAAUAGUUUAUGCAUUUAUUCAACCUCAAGAAGUUGAUGUCAAAGUAAUAAACUAAUAAUCGAGCAUCCUUUGUUUUUUUGCUAAACUGUAAAUAUCAUAUUAAUGAACAAAAGAUUUUACAAGAAAGAUCUUAGUUCUGAAACCAUCAAGGCAAAAAAUUAAAACAAGAUGGAUCAAAGGCAAAUAUCACUAAACAGAGGAGUCUAUCUCAGCCACAUUUGCAUGAGGCUUUUGAAAGGCUUCCUUUGUUUCCUAGCUGAGAUGAUAUUUCGCACCUCUCUGUCGAUACCAUGGAAAACAGUUGCGCUCGAUAAGGAAGCUUGAUUGUGAAUCGAGCAUCCUUUGAAAAGAUAUACUAACGCAAAAUCUGAUAAUGUAAGUAUGUAAUACGCUAGUUUUCAUAGAAAAAAUGAUUCCAUGACCUGUCACCGUUAAUUACGGAUUACUGUUAUAGGAUUUGUAGUUGCUAGCGUAGUAAACUUCAAUACAUUGUUACUAUUUUUGCGACCAAAUCAUCUUACAAAAAGAGAAACACAUUUUAACUAACAGACAACUCUCACCAGACUUUUAUACUUUUUAACAGAUGACAGAAACACAGUAGCUUAGGUCAAAUCUCAAAGUAGAAAAAUAAAGAAACUACUGAAAGAAUUUAAAAAGGAAAACUAUAAAGUCAGAGAGAAAAAAACAAUUUACAAACAAGUAGCCGGUUGGUGUAAACAAAACAACAAGCCAUUUUUAGUUUUUCGUUUUUUUUUUUUUUGGCCAAUUUAGCUAAAAAUACAAAUUGGAGGAGGUAAUUGCAGAAGUAUGCAUUUUUUUAAAAUAAUUGGGGAACCAUGUCAAAUUUGUUUUGAGUUGCCAAUUCUCUCCUCUAGCCACAACUUCUUCGUUACGUAUAUGUUACCUGCUACGGGGAUGAUGCCAAAAAAAUUAUAAUGUAUUGAAACUGUUUCCAAAGGCAAUCAAUGUUUUGAAACCGGAUACAUUCAUUUAAAAUGAUGAUAUAAGAUAUUAAAACCGGAUGUAACUCUAAUAAUUGAAGAGAGAAGAGUUGUGAGAUAGUUUACAAAUUGUUUGUCAGAAAUGUGAUUGAUAGGAAGAUAUUUUACAACAUGUUGUUCCAUGCGCUGAAAGUGAUAUGAUGAGUGCUCGACGCCAUAGGACCAUGGUAUCCUGUUCAUCUUGAUAUAUCAAUCAAAAUACUAUCCAUGUUGGGAGAUGGUGUCGGUUCCCUGUCAAAUAACGGAGCUUGAAUGUUAAAAGUAUCUUAUUAAAGAAGGCAAGAGCUUGAGAUAUGCGUAUAUGUGUCAAUAGGCUGCAAUUAUAGCAUGAUUACAUUUAUCUAAUCCGAGUUUUACUAUUAGUAACCGGAUAUAUGACAGUAAGGUGCAUAUCUACAUAAGUGAAUUCCCGAUUCUUUGCAUUAUCAGAAGUUUUAAGAUUGUUUGCAUUAUUGAUACUUUCGAUAUGUGCAACAGUCCCGUCAUUAUUUGAUUUUGUUAUGUCUAUAAGGACACUUUAGGUAUUACUAUAAAAUGUACAGUCUCUUUACCUGUUACCUAAUUUACAUCUAUAAUUUUGCUAUCUAGUGCAAAAUCCCUUUUUUUUUUACAAAUUCCUAUUCUUACUUACCCCCAUGCGAAGACUAUCUCUACUACGCAUUACUUAAAUCACUCGAACAUAACUGAUUAAGAAAUAAAUAUUUAAGAAAAUGGUAGAUAAUAGAUACAUUGGAGUCUCUUGUUCUAAAAUAAAAAAUAACACAUCAAAUAUCAAACACAGAUUAAACAAGGGAAAUUGCAUCCUACAUCUAUCAAACAAAUUAUAAUUAUAAAUUCACCCAUUAAACAAUGGAACAUGCAAAGAACUCUCUAACUUGUAUCAUCAUACAGGGUAUGAUGACUGAAUGAAUAUCAUCAUACAGGGUAUCAUCAUCAUGAAUUAUCUUGUAAACAGAAAUAAUCUAACUUUUGAGAUGUGACAACUCUUAUUUUUUCCUUUUAGAACAAGUGACAGUUUCCGGUUUAUAAAUGUUUGGCUCAAUAAAACAAAACAAUUGACUAGUCAUUUAAAUUUUGCCUUUUUCAAAACCACUAUCCUGAUUUUGUCGUUGUCGUAUUUAACGAUUUUUUAAUGUGGGUUAACAGUUCAACUCAUAAAUCAUCAGUAAAUCAUCACAAGAACGACGUUCUCAUGUGGGAUACCUACCUAUGGAGCUGCUUUUGCCACAGAGUUUAUAAUUAUUUUAUUGAAAACAUGUAGUUACAGUAAGGGCUGGACACAGAUCGGAUAUCCAGAUUUUUGAAAGUAUUUGUGAUUUGAUUCGUAUGUUACGGAUAUUUAAUUUUUCGAUUUGCUUUACUUUGGAAAAAUACGGAUAUCCAGAAAAACGGAUAUCCGAAAAAUAAAUAGAUAUUUGCGGAUAUUUAUGAAUACUUACUAAUAUCUCAUCAUUUUGAUUAAUAUAAAUAAUUUUAAAAAUUCGAUACAGUUUUUUUUUAAAAUAUAUUUUUUACAUGAUAUAUAAAAUAAAAAUUAGAAGAAGUAUUGAAACUAUAUAUUUUGUAAAUUUUAAACUUAGUUAACAAUUAUAAUAGCACAAAACUUAAGAAAAAAGUUAUAAUUUUCAUAAACAUUUUCUCUUUCUUUUUAUGUACUACUUUUAUAUAAGUAAUAAUGUGAAUAGAAUUUGUCAAAUCAUAUGUUAGAAUAAUAAUUAUAUAAACUUAUACAUUUAAAACUUUUAAUAUAAUCAAGAUAUACAUGUAUUUAUAUAUUGCCGGAUCAGAGCGGAUAUCCGCUUUCCAAAAAUUUAAUAUUUGUGAUUUGUUUUGAUUUUAACGGAUAUUAAUUUUUGAUAUUUGGUUUGCUUCGAAAGUUUACGGAUAUCCAAAAUUUUUGGAUUGAAUCGAAACGAAUAACAAAUCAAAUCAAAUUUAACGGAUAAAAUGUUAAGCCUUAGUUACAGUCACAUUUGGUCCAAAAAAAAAACAUUGUUCCCAUGUCUUAAAACAAGGGGAAAUCAAGGAGUACACAAGAAAGAAAAAAACAAGAUCCCUUAGGACUUGGGAGUUAGGAUGCUUUCUAAAAAUCUUCAGCCCAUAAUACUUUCUCAAUGCUGCAAACUUUUGUUAUUCCUUUGUUUUUCUAUUCCGAUAUAUGCAUAUCUUUUCUCCUCAACUGAUUCAUUCAUUCCUCUCUCUCAAAACCCUAAUAUCUCUGAGAAGUAUUUCUGGAUACCCUAAUUCACAAACCCAAAUCGAUCCACCGUUGAUUGAUCUCUUUUUGAAAUAGUUUAUAAAAGCUUGUGUUUAUUAAUUGACAUGAUAUCAUAUAUGUAUAUACAACUCAAAGUAUAAACCUAACCGAAAUAGAUAAAUCUUAAAAUAUUGAUCCAAUAGAAUUAGGAUUAUAUCCUCUAGCUUAAUGCCCCCCUCCCUCUUAAAUUUGUAAUAUCUUGAAUGUCCAACUUGAAAAGGAAAUAUUAAAAUGUGGGAGUUGGCAACGCUUUAGUAAGUAAGUUUUGGGUUGUUGUUUUGUUGAUAUGUACUUAAUAGUAACUAGUAAGUAGUUUAUAUUAAACCACAUCAUAAUCAUAUGACUAUCAUUUUUAACAUGCUUCGUCUUUUUUCAUGAAAUAUUGGAUUCUUACCUAUGUGGAUUGCCGAUUGACCAUCGCAAAAUAAACACAUUGAUGAUUAUGAAAAAAAAAUAAACAUUAGAAGAAAUUUGAGCAAUUUAAGUUCACAAGUUGAAUCUUCCAUAGGUCGAUAUUUGGUUUCGACAAAAGAUUGUGAAACAGUUUUUUUUUUGUCUCCCAUGAUACUAAAGAGUCGUCAAAAGGACUACAUACACACUAAAAGAACUUCUUUUAACUGGAAAAGCCGACCAAUUAGAAUCGAAACAAGCUGUCAAUCGCAUGUCAUAGUUCGACUUGAGCAUAACUAAUCCACACAACCUUUUAAGUAUCUUACCGCACAUUUUCUGCAUGAAUUAAGAUGAAAUAUGGACAAUGCAGAUGAGUGAAAGCAAGAUAGAUCGAACUAUCUAUACUUGCUUGGAUCGGUAAGCAGUGUUCAUUCAUCAAGAGCAAGACCAUAACCGUUUAUUAGAAUGUUUAUAUAUGAUACUCUUUAUAAGACUUUUACUAGUAAGACCAUAACCCUUAAGGUCAAAAGCUCUAAUACCAUUAUCAAUGUCAAGUCAAAAAUUAAAGACAAUUGAAUCAAUGUGUUCCAGAUUCCUAUGGUCUGGCAACAUCGAAAACAGAACAGCAUUAAAGGUCGCUUGGAAUACUAUCUGCUUGCCCAAGAGUGAAAGUGGAUUAGGUUUGAGAAAAUUUACUCAAUGGAACAAGGUUCUCUGCCUCAGAUUCAUUUGGUUAUUAUUCUCUAACUCUGACUCUUUAUGGAGUAAGUGGCACAUGCACCAUUACCUGAGCAAUACUAUUUUUUAGGCCAUCACUCCAAAGAAUUCAGAUUCUGCAAUUUGGAAGUCCAUACUAUCGCCAAGCCCCUUGCUGAUAAAUUCAUCAAAUGCAGUAUCAACAAUGGCUAUGUCGCCUCUUUUUGGUAUGACAGUUGGACACCGCUAGGCAAGCUAAUUGAAUUCAUCGAACCUACUGGUCCUAGGGACCCAAACCUUCACAUUUCAGCCUCUGUGGCGGAUGCCUGCAAUUCCAAGGGAUGGAAGUUGCCUUCACCUCGUUCAGAAAACGCUCUAACCCUGCAUAUACAUCUAACGACAUUGAGUUUGCCUAACCAAGCUCUUGGGACUGACACUUAUCAUUGGAUAAUUAAUGCUACGGACUGCAGGGGUUUCUCCUCGACAAAAACUUGGGAAGCUCUAAGACUGCGAGCUCCUGUCAAGCAGUGGAAAAUGUUAGUAUGGGUCAGUGGCUUGAUCCCUAGACAUGGAUUCAACAUGUGGCUAGCUCACAAGAGGGAGACUAGCAACGUGGGGUAAAAUCCUAACUGUUGCCUUUGUAACAGCUUCGAGGAGACUCGGGAUCACUUGUUCCUGUACUGUGACUUUGCUAUGAAUUUGUGGAACCAGGUUUUCUCGCGGCUCGACAACAACAGACGUACCUUCAUCUCUUGGGAAGAACUCCUCUCCUGGACUCGACGAUCGACUUCAUCAGCGCCUUCGUUGCUCAAGAAACUCGUGGUUCAAGCUGCUGUCUACAAUAUUUGGCGACAAAGGAACUCGGCCCUACACAGCAACGGACACGCCUCUACUCAACAAACUUUCAAGAUGAUAGACAGAGAUGUGAGGAACACAAUAUCAGCAAGUCAGACAUAGGAGAAAGUUUCAAACUCUUAAUUAUGUCUUAUUGGAUUAGGUGAUUUUUUUCAAAAUUCAUAAUCUGUGUUUUCUUUGUUUUUUAUUCUUUUUUGCUAAGGGAACACUUUCUUAGGCUUAUAAACCUAAACUUUUCAUUUUUUUAAUGAAUAUUUAGUAAAAAAAAACAAGACAGUGAAGAAUACCUCCGAAUUAGAAGAGAUUGAACUUUGGUUCGGGCAUUGACCAUUUUAGUCUGAUGUGUUUUUCCCCUGUUAUGUUGAUGGGCUACUAAAUGGGCAUUUACUAUUCAAUGCUCUAAAGGAUAAUAAUUCAAGGGCUUUCUAUAACUGUAUUUUAUCUUUCACUUUUGUGGUGAUACUAAUCACAAUAUAUUUUAAUCUGCCGUUUACUUCUUGUUCUAUUGAACUUGGUGUUUCAACCAAAGAAAAUAAUAUCAUUUUGAUAAAAAUAAGACAUUACACAAUUCAACUAGGAUCUUUUCACUCUUGUUUUACAAAAUGAUCUUGUUUGGUAUUUUGCUUUAUUAAUCCAAACACAGAAUUAUGAGAUAGAUCUUUAUCUGAUAGUUUGUUUUGUUAAAUGAAUUUCCUUUUCUAUAAAAUUAGAUUAAUGUUUCUAUCAUAGAGGCGCCAUUAGUAUGUGUAAUCCAGUUGAUUCGUAUAUACCUCAAUAAAUAAGGAAUAAAAGAGAGCAUAUUCUCUUCGUUGGUCUAAGACAGUCGAAAGAAUCUGAUCCAAACUCUACAGUUGGAAGCAAUGUUAAUGUGCUUCUUUUUUUUUUGGCUAUACGUGCUUGCUUUUCCAAGCACCUACGUGGUGUGGCUAAUACGUAUAUAUACGGCGUAUGUCUAAGUUUCUCUAGUAUGCCUACUUCUUUGAGUAUAAACUAUUAAGAUAGAUAGAUUUCCAACCUAAAACUGAUUGGUGAUAAGUGGAGUUGUCCUUCUAUAUCUUAUAUAUUACUCCAUUCGUUUCACAAUAAGUAUCAGUUAGAUAUAUAUUACUCACUUCGUUUCAUAAUAAGUGUCAGUUAGACAUAUUUCAUGCAAAUUAAGAAACUAACAAAAUAUAAUAAUUUCUUAUCUAUUAAAAGAGAAACAUUGUAAUAAAUGUAUUCACACACUAUAAUAGAUACGUGGCAACCUCUUAAUGAUUUGAUAAUAAGUAUGCUAAUGAGUUCACACUAUAUUCAUAAAUAUGUUCACACUAUGUACAUUGCAUUUUUUUAAUAUAAAACUCACAUACAUGGUUCCAAUAAAACUCUGGAUUUUUCUUCAGUUAGAAUAAAAAUAGAUAAUGAAUCAAAAGCCGAACUAUAUAUAUUAUUUUUAUUGUUUACGGAUAAAGUUGAGCAAAAUAUUCAUAAAUUUUGAUUCGAUUCGUUAUCCGUUUUGAUUUGAAUCAAAAACUCUGGAUAUCUGUAACUCUACGAAACAAAUCAGAUACUAAAAUACAAUAUCCAAAAAAGAAGCAAAUCACAAAUACCAAUAUUUUUAGGAACAUAUAUCUAAUUUGAUAUGUUAUAUGCAUAUAUAUACAUAUAUGUAAAGAAUUAUAUAUAUAUAUAUAUGUUAUAUAUAUUAUACUUUAUAUCAGUUUUAUAAUAUUUUUAUGAAUUAAAUUUAUUAUAUUAGGUACUAUAAUUUAAAAGGUAAAUAAUUUUUAAUUUUUGUAAUAAAAUGUUAUUAUUAAAAAAAUUUAAUUAUUUUUAAAAUUUUAUUUUAUUUACGGAUCAAAUUGGAUAUUCUUUAAAAUUCUAAAACAUUUCGGAUAUCCGAGUCACCGAAUAUCUAGGUGGCUAAAGAUCGAAUCGACACGAAUGCUUCCAAAUACCCAGAUAUUCGAUCUGUGCCAACCCCUAUUUACGGAUACAAUUUUAUUUUCUUUAUAUGAAAAAAUGACUAAUGCCAAGGCCUUUUUUAUUUUAAAUUAAUUUUAAUUUUAUCUUUCAUGUAUUAUGUUGAACAAAAAAUGUCAUUUAAUAUUAAUUAACAAUAUUUUUAUAUAUUUGUCAACUAUUUUUAUAUAUUUUUUACAUACACAUAGAUGUGCACCUUGAUGUGAGCACUUUGUAACUAAGUGUUCACCACAACUGAAGUAUCUAAUUUUUUAAAAAGUUGAAAUAUUUUGUCUUAAUGCUUCUUUCACUACUGACCAAAUUGUAGUGAAAUGAUUUGUCUUAAUAAUUUUCUUUUCUUUUUCUUAAACUACUAUCUGUUUAGAAACUAUAGUACGAAACUAUUGGUUCGACAUGACGACUAUCUAAAAUUCAUAACAUGAAAAUAAAUAAAUAAUAUUAAUUUUUGGUUUUUACUGAAAAAAACCAAAAAAUCAAGCAUUUUAACCAAAUAAACGAAAAUGAAUAUUAAUUUAAAAUAAGUUAUAUUUUAGAAGAUUAAAUCUAAAAAAAAAACUUAAAACCGAACCAAUAUCCAAAUUAAACAGAUUUAGUGUCUUUUUAUUAAAAAGUAACGAAACUAAUAAUCACAUUCUGCACAGUCGACCUUUAUUUAUUAUGCAACUAUUUAAAUAAAAAUGAUUUAACUAAACAUCUAUUGGUCAUUUAAAAGGGUAAGAAAGUGAUUAAUGUUAAAACUUACAUUGAAAAUGUAGAAUGACAUUUAUUUUGAAACAGAAUAAAAAAAAAAAACUAAAUGACAUUUUUUUAUGAAACAGAGUAGUAAGGAUCCCUUCCACUUUGUGUCUAAUAUAGACUAUCAAUUAUUCUGCAAAAAAAAAAGUAUACCAAUUUAUAGAAUUACUUGAUACCAAAAAGUAGAUAUUGUACAGGUGACGGGGAUUUUGAGAUAUAUUGUUGGCAUUAAAAUCACAUACACCAAGAACGAUGCAUAGAUUUUAGUGUAUGUCGAUUUGAUCUUCUCUAUAUGUGUUUGACUAAAAAGUCAAAAUGUACAUCUUAGCUCGAAGUACGAUUGUUUGGCCUGCAUACAAGUGAACAACCUAUGCUCCCUUGGUUCGUUUGAAAGGUAUUAACAUUAAACAAACGACAUUUGAAAGGAACAUUGAACAAACAUAAUUUUUCUAUUGGUUCAAAAAUCAUAUUUUUCUAUGUAUUGUUUUUCUUUAUAAACGAUUGUGCAUCUUUCAAGAUGCGACCCAAAAUUUUAC